rnacentral:rRNA from 1 species
GGGGAAUAUUGCACAAUGGAGGAAACCCUGAUGCAGCAACGCCGCGUGAGUGAUGACGGUCUUCGGAUUGUAAAGCUCUGUCUUCUGGGACGAUAAUGACGGUACCUGAGGAGGAAGCCACGGCUAACUACGUGCCAGCAGCCGCGGUAAUACGUAGGUGGUAAGCGUUGUCCGGAUUUACUGGGCGUAAAGGGAGCGUAGGUGGAUAUUUAAGUGGGAUGUGAAAUACUCGGGCUUAAACUGGGUGCUGCAUUCCAAACUGGAUAUCUAGAGUGCAGGAGAGGAAAGUAGAAUUCCUAGUGUAGCGGUGAAAUGCGUAGAGAUUAGGAAGAAUACCAGUGGCGAAGGCGGCUUUCUGGACUGUAACUGACGCUGAGGCAUGAAAGCGUGGGGAGCAAAC